UCACUCUUAGCGGUGGAUCACUCGGCUCGUGG
rnacentral:rRNA from 1 species